rnacentral:pre_miRNA from 1 species
CGUGCACCAAUGGGGUCCCUCAGCCUGGCCUGCACCCUCUCGCAAUCCAGGACCCCUUGGGGGAUGUUAGAGAGGUGGUUUCAGCCCAAUUCUGCAGGCCAGGCUGAGGGACCCCACUGGUGCAAG